rnacentral:rRNA from 1 species
AACGUAGGAGGCGAGCGUUAUCCGGAUUUACUGGGCGUAAAGCGUGUGUAGGCGGUUGUGUAAGUUGGAUGUGAAAGCUCCUGGCUUAACUAGGAGAGGUCGUUCAAUACUGCAUAACUUGAGGUCAUCAGAGGAAGAUGGAAUUCCCGGUGUAGUGGUGAAAUGCGUAGAUAUCGGGAGGAACACCAGUGGCGAAAGCGGUCUUCUGGGAUGAUUCUGACGCUCAGACACGAAAGCUAGGGUAGCGAACGGG